rnacentral:lncRNA from 1 species
AUUGAGAAUAAAGCGGGGUAUUUGGCAACAUGAGGUCAACAUUUGCAGUUUUGUUUCUUGCAAUAAUUGCUUUAACAUACUCCAAAAAUUAUGAAGAUAUUAAAGAAGAAUUAAAAAAUGAAGUGGAAAACGAAAUUUUAAAAGAUCUUGAGGAAGACGAUAACGAGUUUGACGAUAACGUUCAGGAAAAUGUUAACGAUGCAAGACCACUUCGACGAUUUUUUCGCAGGCUCCGUGGUAGAAAGUUACUUCAAUACUUACCCGCUGCUAUUAAAGUUUGGAGUCUUGGAAAAAAAAAAUGAAGUUGUUAAGUUUUAAAAGAAACUUUAUUUAAAGUAUAUUGUUAAGAUGUUAUAA